CGUGCGGGAUGAAGGCCUUCGGGUUGUAAACCGCUUUCAGUAGGGAAGAAGCGAAAGUGACGGUACCUACAAAAGAAGCACCGGCUAACUAUGUGCCAGCAGCCGCGGUAAUACAUAGGGUGCAAGCGUUGUCCGGAAUUAUUGGGCGUAAAGAGCUCGUAGGUUGUUUGUUACGUCGGAUGUGAAAACCUGAGGCUCAACCUCAGGCCUGCAUUCGAUACGGGCAAACUAGAGUUUGGUAGGGGAGACUGGAAUUCCUGGUGUAGCGGUGGAAUGCGCAGAUAUCAGGAGGAACACCAAUGGCGAAGGCAGGUCUCUGGGCCAAUACUGACACUGAGGAGCGAAAGUCUGGGGAGCGAACAGGAUUAGAUACCCUGGUAGUCCAGACCGUAAACGGUGGGCACUAGUUGUGGGAACCUUCCACGGUUUCUGCGACGCAGCUAACGCAUUAAGUGCCCCGCCUGGGGAGUACGAUCGCAAGAUUAAAACUCAAAGGAAUUGACGGGGCCCCGCACAAGCAGCGGAGCAUGCGGCUUAAUUCGACGCAACGCGAAGAACCUUACCAAGGCUUGACAUAUAGGGAAAAGUGGCAGAGAUGUCAUGUCCGCAAGGGCUGUAUACAGGUGGUGCAUGGUUGUCGUCAGCUCGUGUCGUGAGAUGUUGGGUUAAGUCCCGCAACGAGCGCAACCCUCGUUCUGUGUUGCCAGCAUUUAGUUGGGGACUCACAGGAGACUGCCGGGGUUAACUCGGAGGAAGGUGGGGAUGACGUCAAAUCAUCAUGCCCCUUAUGUCUUGGGCUGCACGCAUGCUACAAUGGCUGGUACAAAGGGCUGCAAUACUGCAAAGUGGAGCGAAUCCCAAAAAGCC
rnacentral:rRNA from 1 species